rnacentral:rRNA from 1 species
AGUGAACGCUGGCGGUAGGCCUAACACAUGCAAGUCGAACGGCAGCACAGUAAGAGCUUGCUCUUACGGGUGGCGAGUGGCGGACGGGUGAGGAAUACAUCGGAAUCUACUUUUUCGUGGGGGAUAACGUAGGGAAACUUACGCUAAUACCGCAUACGACCUACGGGUGAAAGCAGGGGAUCUUCGGACCUUGCGCGAUUGAAUGAGCCGAUGUCGGAUUAGCUAGUUGGCGGGGUAAAGGCCCACCAAGGCGACGAUCCGUAGCUGGUCUGAGAGGAUGAUCAGCCACACUGGAACUGAGACACGGUCCAGACUCCUACGGGAGGCAGCAGUGGGGAAUAUUGGACAAUGGGCGCAAGCCUGAUCCAGCCAUACCGCGUGCGUGUAGAAGGCCUUCGGGUUGUAAAGCCCUUUUGUUGGGAAAGAAAAGCAGCAGGUUAAUACCCCGCUGUUCUGACGGUACCCAAAGAAUAAGCACCGGCUAACUUCGUG